GGGGAACCGUGCCCCACUAGUCUGGGAGUACCACUUGGAAACAAGGUGCUAAUACCGGAUAAGAAAGCGGAUCGCAUGAUCAGCUUUUAAAAGGCGGCGUAAGCUGUCGCUAUGGGAUGGCCCCGCGGUGCAUUAGCUAGUUGGUAAGGUAAAGGCUUACCAAGGCGAUGAUGCAUAGCCGAGUUGAGAGACUGAUCGGCCACAUUGGGACUGAGACACGGCCCAAACUCCUACGGGAGGCAGCAGCC
rnacentral:rRNA from 1 species